UGAGUAACACGUGGACAAUCUGCCCCCCGGCCGGGAUAGCCCAGGGAAACCUGGAUUAAUACCGGAUGAGACGGGACCUGCGAUGGCGGGAUCCGGGAAAGGCGCUACGGCGCGCCGGGGGAUGAGUCUGCGUCCCAUUAGCUAGACGGCGGGGUAACGGCCCACCGUGGCGACGAUGGGUAGCCGGCCUGAGAGGGUGGACGGCCACAUUGGAACUGAGACACGGUCCAGACUCCUACGGGAGGCAGCAGCUAAGAAUCUUCCGCAAUGGGCGAAAGCCUGACGGAGACCGACGCCGCGUAGAACGAAGAAGGCCGUGAGGUUGUAAAGUUCUUUUCGGGAGGGGGAACAACCGUGGCAGGGAAUGGCCGCGGGAUGACGUGAAUCCCGGAAUAAGCCCCGGCUAACUACGUGCCAGCCGCGGC
rnacentral:rRNA from 1 species